GGCAGCCGCGGUAAUUCCAGCUCCAAUAGCGUAUAUUAAAGUUGUUGCAGUUAAAAAGCUCGUAGUUGAAUUUCGAGAUCAAAUUGUUGGUCGUGCCUUGGUACGCACUGGCAUUAUUGGUUUCUCCCUUCUGACGAACCAUGAUGUCAUUAAUUUGGUGUCUUGGGGAAUCAGGACUGUUACUUUGAAAAAAUUAGAGUGUUCAAAGCAGGCCUUUGCUCGAAUACGUUAGCAUGGAAUAAUAGAAUAGGACGUGCGGUCCUAUUUUGUUGGUUUCUAGGACCGCCGUAAUGAUUAAUAGGGACAGUCGGGGGCAUCAGUAUUCAAUUGUCAGAGGUGAAAUUCUUGGAUUUAUUGAAGACUGACUACUGCGAAAGCAUUUGCCAAGGAUGUUUUCAUUAAUCAAGAACGAAAGUUAGGGGAUCGAAGACGAUCAGAUACCGUCGUAGUCUUAACCAUAAACUAUGCCGACUAGAGAUCGGAUGAUGUUAAUUUUUAAUGACUCAUUCGGCGCCUUACGGGAAACCAAAGUGUUUGGG
rnacentral:rRNA from 1 species